rnacentral:rRNA from 1 species
GAUGAACGCUGGCGGCGUGCCUAACACAUGCAAGUCGAGCGGCAGCGAGGGGUGCUUGCACCCUGUCGGCGAGCGGCGGACGGCUGAGUAACGCGUGGGAACGUGCCCCAAAGUGAGGAAUAACUGCCCGAAAGGGUGGCUAAUACCGCAUAUUAUCUUCGGAUCAAAGGAUUUAUCCGCUUUGGGAGCGGCUCGCGUCGGAUUAGGUAGUUGGUGAGGUAAUGGCUCACCAAGCCGACGAUCCGUAGCUGGUCUGAGAGGAUGACCAGCCAGACUGGAACUGAGACACGGUCCAGACUCCUACGGGAGGCAGCAGUGAGGAAUCUUCCACAAUGGGCGAAAGCCUGAUGGAGCAACGCCGCGUGCAGGACGAAGGCCUUCGGGUUGUAAACUGCUUUUAUAAGUGAGGAAUAUGACGGUAACUGAUGAAUAAGGAUCGGCUAACUACGUG